ACUGAGUGGCGACGGGUGAGUAACGCGGUGGGUAACCUGCCCUGUACAGGGGGACAACAGUUAGAAAUGACUGCUAAUACCGCAUAAGCGCACAGGACCGCAUGGUCCGGUGUGAAAAACUCCGGUGGUACAGGAUGGACCCGCGUCUGAUUAGGUAGUUGGCGGGGUAACGGCCCACCAAGCCGACGAUCAGUAGCCGACCUGAGAGGGUGACCGGCCACAUUGGGACUGAGACACGGCCCAAACUCCUACGGAAGGCAGCAG
rnacentral:rRNA from 1 species